GGGUUGUGAGGUUAAGCGACUAAGCGUACACGGUGGAUGCCCUGGCAGUCAGAGGCGAUGAAGGACGUGCUAAUCUGCGAAAAGCGUCGGUAAGGUGAUAUGAACCGUUAUAACCGGCGAUGUCCGAAUGGGGAAACCCAGUGUGAUUCGUCACACUAUCGUUAACUGAAUACAUAGGUUAACGAGGCGAACCGGGGGAACUGAAACAUCUAAGUACCCCGAGGAAAAGAAAUCAACCGAGAUUCCCCCAGUAGCGGCGAGCGAACGGGGAGCAGCCCAGAGUCUGAAUCAGCUUGUGUGUUAGUGGAACGGUCUGGAAAGUCCGACGGUACAGGGUGAUAGUCCCGUACACCAAAAUGCACAGGUUGUGAACUCGAAGAGUAGGGCGGGACACGUGGUAUCCUGUCUGAAUAUGGGGGACCAUCCUCCAAGGCUAAAUACUCCUGACUGACCGAUAGUGAACCAGUACCGUGAGGGAAAGGCGAAAAGAACCCCGGCGAGGGGAGUGAAAAAGAACCUGAAACCGUGUACGUACAAGCAGUGGGAGCACCUUCGGGUGUGACUGCGUACCUUUUGUAUAAUGGGUCAGCGACUUAUAUUCUGUAGCAAGGUUAACCGUAUAGGGGAGCCGCAGGGAAACCGAGUCUUAACUGGGCGUUAAGUUGCAGGGUAUAGACCCGAAACCCGGUGAUCUAGCCAUGGGCAGGUUGAAGGUUGGGUAACACUAACUGGAGGACCGAACCGACUAAUGUUGAAAAAUUAGCGGAUGACUUGUGGCUGGGGGUGAAAGGCCAAUCAAACCGGGAGAUAGCUGGUUCUCCCCGAAAGCUAUUUAGGUAGCGCCUCGUGAAUUCAUCUUCGGGGGUAGAGCACUGUUUCGGCUAGGGGGUCAUCCCGACUUACCAACCCGAUGCAAACUACGAAUACCGAAGAAUGUUAUCACGGGAGACACACGGCGGGUGCUAACGUCCGUCGUGAAGAGGGAAACAACCCAGACCGCCAGCUAAGGUCCCAAAGUCAUGGUUAAGUGGGAAACGAUGUGGGAAGGCACAGACAGCCAGGAUGUUGGCUUAGAAGCAGCCAUCAUUUAAAGAAAGCGUAAUAGCUCACUGGUCGAGUCGGCCUGCGCGGAAGAUGUAACGGGGCUAAACCAUGCACCGAAGCUGCGGCAGCGACACUAUGUGUUGUUGGGUAGGGGAGCGUUCUGUAAGCCUGCGAAGGUGUGCUGUGAGGCAUGCUGGAGGUAUCAGAAGUGCGAAUGCUGACAUAAGUAACGAUAAAGCGGGUGAAAAGCCCGCUCGCCGGAAGACCAAGGGUUCCUGUCCAACGUUAAUCGGGGCAGGGUGAGUCGACCCCUAAGGCGAGGCCGAAAGGCGUAGUCGAUGGGAAACAGGUUAAUAUUCCUGUACUUGGUGUUACUGCGAAGGGGGGACGGAGAAGGCUAUGUUAGCCGGGCGACGGUUGUCCCGGUUUAAGCAUGUAGGCUGGUUGUCCAGGCAAAUCCGGAUAAUCAAGGCUGAGGUGUGAUGACGAGGCACUACGGUGCUGAAGUAACAAAUGCCCUGCUUCCAGGAAAAGCCUCUAAGCAUCAGGUAACAUCAAAUCGUACCCCAAACCGACACAGGUGGUCAGGUAGAGAAUACCAAGGCGCUUGAGAGAACUCGGGUGAAGGAACUAGGCAAAAUGGUGCCGUAACUUCGGGAGAAGGCACGCUGGUGUGUAGGUGAAGUCCCUGCGGAUGGAGCUGAGACCAGUCGAAGAUACCAGCUGGCUGCAACUGUUUAUUAAAAACACAGCACUGUGCAAACACGAAAGUGGACGUAUACGGUGUGACGCCUGCCCGGUGCCGGAAGGUUAAUUGAUGGGGUUAUCCGUAAGGAGAAGCUCUUGAUCGAAGCCCCGGUAAACGGCGGCCGUAACUAUAACGGUCCUAAGGUAGCGAAAUUCCUUGUCGGGUAAGUUCCGACCUGCACGAAUGGCGUAAUGAUGGCCAGGCUGUCUCCACCCGAGACUCAGUGAAAUUGAACUCGCUGUGAAGAUGCAGUGUACCCGCGGCAAGACGGAAAGACCCCGUGAACCUUUACUAUAGCUUGACACUGAACAUUGAGCCUUGAUGUGUAGGAUAGGUGGGAGGCUUUGAAGCGUGGACGCCAGUCUGCGUGGAGCCAACCUUGAAAUACCACCCUUUAAUGUUUGAUGUUCUAACGUUGGCCCCUUACCGGGGUUGCGGACAGUGUCUGGUGGGUAGUUUGACUGGGGCGGUCUCCUCCCAAAGCGUAACGGAGGAGCACGAAGGUUAGCUAAUCCUGGUCGGACAUCAGGAGGUUAGUGCAAUGGCAUAAGCUAGCUUGACUGCGAGCGUGACGGCGCGAGCAGGUGCGAAAGCAGGUCAUAGUGAUCCGGUGGUUCUGAAUGGAAGGGCCAUCGCUCAACGGAUAAAAGGUACUCCGGGGAUAACAGGCUGAUACCGCCCAAGAGUUCAUAUCGACGGCGGUGUUUGGCACCUCGAUGUCGGCUCAUCACAUCCUGGGGCUGAAGUAGGUCCCAAGGGUAUGGCUGUUCGCCAUUUAAAGUGGUACGCGAGCUGGGUUUAGAACGUCGUGAGACAGUUCGGUCCCUAUCUGCCGUGGGCGCUGGAGAAUUGAGGGGGGCUGCUCCUAGUACGAGAGGACCGGAGUGGACGCAUCACUGGUGUUCGGGUUGUCAUGCCAAUGGCACUGCCCGGUAGCUAAAUGCGGAAGAGAUAAGUGCUGAAAGCAUCUAAGCACGAAACUUGCCCCGAGAUGAGUUCUCCCUGAGACUUUAAGUCUCCUGAAGGAACGUUAAAGACGAUGACGUUGAUAGGCCGGGUGUGUAAGCGCAGCGAUGCGUUGAGCUAACCGGUACUAAUGAACCGUGAGGCUUAACCUUACAACGCCGAAG
rnacentral:rRNA from 1 species